GACGAACGCUGGCGGCGUGCCUAAUACAUGCAAGUCGAACGCGAGCGACCGGUGCUUGCACUGGUCAAUCUAGUGGCGAACGGGUGAGUAACACGUGGGUAACCUGCCCAUCAGAGGGGGAUAACAUCCGGAAACGGAUGCUAAAACCGCAUAGGUCUUCGAACCGCAUGGUUUGAAGAGGAAAAGAGGCGCAAGCUUCUGCUGAUGGAUGGACCCGCGGUGCAUUAGCUAGUUGGUGAGGUAACGGCUCACCAAGGCCGUGAUGCAUAGCCGACCUGAGAGGGUGAUCGGCCACAUUGGGACUGAGACACGGCCCAAACUCCUACGGGAGGCAGCAGUAGGGAAUCUUCCGCAAUGGACGCAAGUCUGACGGAGCAACGCCGCGUGAGUGAAGAAGGUUUUCGGAUCGUAAAACUCUGUUGUUAGAGAAGAACAAGUGCUAGAGUAACUGUUAGCGCCUUGACGGUAUCUAACCAGAAAGCCACGGCUAACUACGUGCCAGCAGCCGCGGUAAUACGUAGGUGGCAAGCGUUGUCCGGAUUUAUUGGGCGUAAAGCGAGCGCAGGCGGUUCCUUAAGUCUGAUGUGAAAGCCCCCGGCUCAACCGGGGAGGGUCAUUGGAAACUGGGGAACUUGAGUGCAGAAGAGGAGAGUGGAAUUCCAUGUGUAGCGGUGAAAUGCGUAGAUAUAUGGAGGAACACCAGUGGCGAAGGCGACUCUCUGGUCUGUAACUGACGCUGAGGCUCGAAAGCGUGGGUAGCAAACAGG
rnacentral:rRNA from 1 species